rnacentral:rRNA from 1 species
AGUCAACAUGCCCAGGGGACGUGGAUAACCUCGGGAAACUGAGGAUAAACCGCGAUAGGUCAUCACUUCUGGAAUGGGUAAUGACUUAAAUCUAUAUGGCCCCUGGAUUGGACUGCGGCCGAUCAGGCUGUUGGUGAGGUAAUGGCCCACCAAACCUGUAACCGGUACGGGCCCUGAGAGGAGGAGCCCGGAGAUGGGCACUGAGACAAGGGCCCAGGCCCUAUGGGGCGCAGCAGGCGCGAAACCUCUGCAAUAGGCGAAAGCUUGACAGGGUUACUCUGAGUGAUUUCCGUUAAGGAGAUCUUUUGGCACCUCUAAAAAUGGUGCAGAAUAAGGGGUGGGCAAGUCUGGUGUCAGCCGCCGCGGUAAUACCAGCACCCCGAGUGGUCGGGACGUUUAUUGGGCCUAAAGCAUCCGUAGCCGGUUCUACAAGUCUUCCGUUAAAUCCACCUGCUUAACAGAUGGGCUGCGGAAGAUACUAUAGAGCUAGGAGGCGGGAGAGGCAAGCGGUACCCGAUGGGUAGGGGUAAAAUCCGUUGAUCCAUUGAAGACCACCAGUGGCGAAGGCGGCUUGCCAGAACGCGCUCGACGGUGAGGGAUGAAAGCUGGGGGAGCAAACCGGAUUAGAUACCCGGGUAGUCCCAGCUGUAAACGAUGCAGACUCGGUGAUGAGUUGGCUUAUUGCUAACUCAGUGCCGCAGGGAAGCCGUUAAGUUUGCCGCCUGGGGAGUACGGUCGCAAGACUGAAACUUAA